CCCCCCCCCCCCCACCGCCGUGCCAGGAGCCCUUGAGAGAAAGCAGUUUGGCACGGAGCCCCGGUGUGCGCCACCCUGGCCUGGCAGGCCUGCAGCUCAGGACCAGGGAACCAAGAGGAGACCGUACUUCGCUAGCGCCCAGGGCCGGUCCCCGCCCCCGCCCCCGCGUCCCGCAGCCGCCUUGUGAGCCCCAGGUUCAAUUCCUUCAGUGAGCGGCGCAUCUCGUUGGUAAGGAUGUUCAUCCUCUCGCACUCCUGGAAGGCGACCACCACGUACGGGGUCUUCUCGGCUGACUUCGCCAUGAUCUCGGCCAUGUUGAAUGUCUCCGGGACCUUCUCCAGGAUCUCCUCCAGCACGGCCUUCACCUAGAGGACCGUGCGGAACAGUUUCUCUGAGGUGACUGUCAGAAAGCCGAUCUCUGCAUUGGGGUGCAGGCCGUACAGGUAGGGACUCUCGGGGGGCAGGUUCUCAUUGACGUACUCGUGGUAACCCUGCAGAGGGGCGGUCGGUGAACAGGGCUGCCAAGGAACCUGUGUCCGCCAUUGACGAGGCAUUUCUGACCAGAAUGUUCCGCCCACGCCUUGCCCUCUGUACCAACCCCACUGGUUCUCUAACACCCCCCAGCCCAGCCACAUGAACGAAGCCUCCACGCCCCCUCCCCAGAGGCUGUGUUUCAAGCCGUCCCGGCCUUCUUGCCCAAUCACCGAUACUCUGUCUGUGACGCCAGGCUGGCCCCCCGGAGCCGGCCGGGAUAGCAUUGCCCUUUGCUGCUGUUGCGUCACAGGGGGAGCUUGUGUCCCCGAGAGAGGGCCCCCCUCACCU